AUCCAGCUGACGAGUCGCAAAUAGGAUUAAUUGGCGUGCGUCCUGGAU
rnacentral:hammerhead_ribozyme from 1 species